UACGUAGGGACCAAGCGUUGUCCGGAAUCAUUGGGCGUAAAGCGCGUGUAGGCGGCUUGGUAAGUCCGGUGUGAAACCUUGGGGCUCAACCCCAAGCCUGCACUGGAUACUGCCUCGCUUGAGUCCGGGAGGGGAGAGCGGAAUCCUAGUGUAGCGGUGAAAUGCGCAGAUAUUAGGAAGAACACCGGUGGCGAAGGCGGCUCUCUGGACCACAACUGACGCUGAGGCGCGAAAGCUAGGGGAGCAAACA
rnacentral:rRNA from 1 species